AGACACGCUUCGGAGCGACACACGGAGUAUCUCUCGAGAUCUCGACCCCCCCGCGGGGGGGAUUGGCUCUGAGGAAAGUCCCCGGGCAUUUCGGCAGAGAGUGCCAGCCAUG
rnacentral:RNase_MRP_RNA from 1 species